rnacentral:lncRNA from 1 species
AUGUUCCUCCCUGGAGACAGUGUUAAGAGGUCAGGGCCAGAGCCUUCAUUUAGGAGAAAUGAAAUACUUCUGUGUAUGUGGGAGGGGCCCUUGCUCCUGCUGGCCGCUGCCACUACUACCACCACCACCACCACCAAACUAAAUAAUCAGGCUCAAAGUCUCAGCUCCUGGCCCUUUCUCAACUUGAUGAUGAGAAUGUCAUCCUGCUCCACGUAGUCAUUAGGGUCAUCAUCUUGGUUCACUGGAAUGACCUGGGGCUGUUGGAGAUGAGGUCUCAAGACGCGACACGUCAAGUCUGCUCUUCAUUGCACCGCACAUGGAGGGUGAACUCCACCAAGCGCUGGCGGAACUCUUCACAUGGGAAGUCCCGGGAGGAUAGCAGCUUGUCCACAAUGUCAUCACUAAUGAGGAGAACUAAUCUAAGUUUGUGAGCCAUGAACUCAUCAUGAAUAACUGAGGAAUUGGCAUCAAUUUGAACCCAGUCAAUGACUAUUAUGGGCACCUCAGCGAGAAGACACUCAGAAUCGAAAUAGCCACUGCUGGGUUGGUGUUCUGGAUGAUGAACUUGACAUGGUGGGCUGGCUGGCUUAAAGCAUUGCAUCCCCUAUUUGUGUGUGUGUGUGGGCGAGGGGGAGGUUAGCAGUCUUUUAUAGAUUUCAGUGUCUACGUAUUUUGUAAUACUUCUCAGUUUAGAUUAUUACUAAGAGUUUUAUUCUUUUUGAUUCAUUUGUAAAUGGAUUAUCUUCUUCAUUUUUGUUUCCAAUUGUUCAUUGGUAGUGUACAUAUACUCAGCUUAUUUUUGUGCGUUGAUUUUGUAUCCUGCAACUUUGCUUAAUUGGUUUAUUAGUUCUAAUGAUUUGUGAAUGUGUGUGUGUCUGUGUGUGUGUGUGUGUGUGUAAUUGUCAAGGUUUUCUACAUAUAGCAUCACAUUAUCUGCAAACAGUGAAAUUUUCUUUCUUUCUGAUUUGGAUGACUUUUAAUUAUAUUUCUUGCCUAAUUUCUCUGGCUAGGACUUCCAGUAGUAUGUUGAAUGGAAGUGGUCAGAGUGGGCAUCCUUAACUGGCUCCUGAUCUUAGAGGAAAAGCUUUCAGUUUUUCACUGUAUAGUAUGACAUUCACUGUGACCUGUAUUAUGUUGAGGUAAUUUUCUUCUAUUCUUAGUUUAUGGAGUGUUUUUUAUCACGAAAGGGUGUUAAAUGUUUCAGAUGCUUUUUCUG